rnacentral:rRNA from 1 species
AGAGGGUGCAAACGUUGCUCGGAAUCACUGGGCGUAAAGGGCGUGUAGGCGGGAAGGAAAGUCAGAUGUGAAAUCCCUGGGCUCAACCCAGGAACUGCAUUUGAAACUCCCUUUCUUGAGUGUCGGAGAGGAAAGUGGAAUUCCUGGUGUAGAGGUGAAAUUCGUAGAUAUCAGGAGGAACACCGGUGGCGAAGGCGGCUUUCUGGACGACAACUGACGCUGAGACGCGAAAGCGUGGGGAGCAAACAGGAUUAGAUACCCUGGUAGUCCACGCUGUAAACGAUGAACACUAGGUGUCGUGGGUAUUGACCCCCGCGGUGCCGCAGCUAACGCAUUAAGUGUUCCGCCUGGGAAGUACGGUCGCAAGACUAAA